rnacentral:rRNA from 1 species
GAUGAACGCUGGCGGCGUGCCUAAUACAUGCAAGUCGAGCGAACAGACGAGGAGCUUGCUCCUCUGACGUUAGCGGCGGACGGGUGAGUAACACGUGGAUAACCUACCUAUAAGACUGGGAUAACUUCGGGAAACCGGAGCUGAUACCGGAUAAUAUAUUGAACCGCAUGGUUCAAUAGUGAAAGACGGUUUUGCUGUCACUUAUAGAUGGAUCCGCGCCGCAUUAGCUAGUUGGUAAGGUAACGGCUUACCAAGGCAACGAUGCGUAGCCGACCUGAGAGGGUGAUCGGCCACACUGGAACUGAGACACGGUCCAGACUCCUACGGGAGGCAGCAGUAGGGAAUCUUCCGCAAUGGGCGAAAGCCUGACGGAGCAACGCCGCGUGAGUGAUGAAGGUCUUCGGAUCGUAAAACUCUGUUAUUAGGGAAGAAUAAAUGUGUAAGUAACUAUGCACGUCUUGACGGUACCUAAUCAGAAAGCCACGGCUAACUACGUG